CAACAACAGAUGUGUCCUUCUUCCAGGCACAUAUCCCUGGAAGCUACAGGGCUCAGUUUGCUGCUGGUAAAAUGCACUGUGGGCAGCCAGUCCGGAACAGUUUUCAGAACACAGCACUGAUCGGGGUUAAGGGCUAGACCGGUUUUAACUUGGGAACAAUCAGUUUGGCUUAGGUGCGGUGUGUGAAGGGAGGAAGGAAGAGGGAGUGCAACAGACAGGGUCCACAGUUUGAAAUCUCUCUUGGAUGAUAUUAGACCCAUAUCAAUCUUCUAGUUCACUUUUUCCUCAUAGGCCCUCCAGGAAUUCCAGGAUUCAAAGGUGACACAGGACUUCCAGGCGCUAAAGGUGAGAAAGGGCCCAUGGGAUCUCCAGGACCAAAAGGUGACCAGGGUGAGAAAGGACCACGAGGACUUACAGGUCAGUACCUAUAGAACUUGCAUGUGAGGCUGGCUUUUUCUCUGACCCUUAAACUUUGGCCGAUGAAUCCAAGCUGACUCCAUAGUAGAAAGUGGGCUCCACCUUUACAUUCUGUCUAAAUUAUCACCUGCCAACAGAAUGAAUGCAAAGCACAGAUUCAUGUUCAUCUUGGUCACUGGCAUCAAUUCCAUGUCUUAGGAGCAUAGAACAGUGCAGUCUGUGAUCAGGGAGCCAGUAGGUCCUGGCUCUGGGUUCGGGUCAUCUGCUUUCAACAGGAAACCAGGGGAGAGUAGGCAAGUUCUUAUGGUUGGUUGUCCAUGCAACUAGAUCUAGUCAGGGAGAAAAUGCUUUUUUCAAGCUAUUAAGUCUCCUGUUUUGUCUGGGCCUUCCUUGCUAUGUUCCCUUCUGCCAACAUAAGAGCAGUUGGAGUAGUUAUUGCUGGCAAUCCCAAAGCUACCAAACCAUUUUUCCACUUAGUCAUUCUAACUCUGUUUCCUUACAGGGGAGCCUGGCUCAAAAGGUUUGCCUGGUGCUACUGGAGAGCCAGGAGCUAAAGGAGCAAUGGGUCCAGCUGGUCCUGAUGGACAUCAAGGUCCAAGAGGUUUGUCAUUGCUUCUUCUCCCCAUCCCCCUAAUCACUAGCCUAAAACUAGGGCCUGGAAUCCAUCCCCUUCCACUCAGACAACUAUCCACGAAAAACCAAUGAAAGGGGACAAAUGUCAGACAUCAUGGUGGGUUUCAGUGGGAUAAAACCCCUUUGAUUCUAGCAGUCAAUCUCCCAUCCUCUCAGUACUAUCAAUCAAUGAUGAUAAUUAUUGAUAACAAUAAUAGUAAUUAUUGUGAUAUUUAUUAAGUGCUUACUAUGUGUCAAACACUGUACAAAGUACUGGGGUUGAUAAAAGAUAAUCUAGUCCCAUAUGGGACUCAAAGUCUAAGUUGGAGGGAGAAGAGGUAUUGAACCCCCAUUUUGCAUAUUAGGGAACUGAGGCACAGAGAAGUUAAGUGGCUUGCCCAAGAUCACAGAGCUGACAAGUGGUGGAGCUGGAAUUAGAUGUGUACUCUUUCCAUAGGGCCAUGCUGCUACUGAGUGCCUACUGUGUGCACAGCACUGUACUAAGUGCUCAGGAGAUGAUUACAGAAUCAGUAGACACGACCUCUGCCCUCCAGGAGCUGGUAAUCUAGGGAGGGUGAGGCAGGUGCAAAAAUAAAUUACAGAGAGAAAAAAGUAAUAGCUAGGUUAAGUGCUACAAGUGGCUAUGGAUACAUAAGUGGCACUGCAGUGCAAAAAUGACAUUGGGGGUAAUUAAGGUAAGAAUUGAAAUGAAUAGGGAAGGCUUCCUAGAGGUGAAAUGAUUUCAGGAGGGCUUUGAAGAUGGGGAGAGAAGUUGUCUAUGGGAUGAGACGGGGAAGGGAGUUUGAGGCAGGAGAAAGGACAUGAGCCGUAGCUCUAGUUUGGGGGUGGGAAAGAUGGGGAAAUGGCACAUUCUUUUGAGAGAAAUGAAGAGGGCAAGUUGGGCUUUAGUGGGAGAGUAGAGUGGAGAAUUAGGAUAGAGGUAGCAGUUUAACUCCUUAAAGUCAAUAGUCAGGCAUUUUUUCUUGAUGAGGAGAGGAAUGGGCAACAUUGGAGCUUUUUGAGAAGCAGGGAGAUGUGUGUAGAAUAACAUUUUAGAAAAAAGAUCCAGGCAUCAGGGUGAAGUAUGGUCUAGAGAGGGGAGAGACCAGUAGCCCAGUACCAGAGACCAGUAGAGAAGCAGCGUGGCGCAGUGGAAAGAGCACGGGCUUUGGAGUCAGGGCUCAUGAGUUUGAAUCCCAGCUCUGCCACUUGUCAGCUGUGUGACUGUGGGCAAGUCACUUAACUUCUCUGUGCCUCAGUUCCCUCAUCUGUAAAAUGGGGAUUAAGACUGUGAGCCCCACGUGGGACAACCUGAUUCCCCUGUGUCUACCCCAGCGCUUAGAACAGUGCUCUGCACAUAGUAAGCGCUUAACAAAUAACUGAGAAGCAGCGUGGCUCAGUGGAAAGAGCGCGGGCUUUGGAGUCAGAGGUCAUGGGUUCGAAUCCCAGCUCGGCCACUUGUCAGCUGUGUGACUUUGGGCAAGUCACUUAACUUCUCGGUGCCUCAGUUACUUCAUCUGUAAAAUGGGGAUUAAGACUGUGAGCCCCACGUGGGACAACCUGAUUCCCCUGUGUCUACCCUAGCGCUUAGAACAGUGCUCGGCACAUAGUAAGCGCUUAACAAAUGCCAACAUUAUUAUUAUUAUUAUUAGCCCGAGAGAUCAGUGGGGAGAUACAAGCAGGAGUUAAGUUGGGAUAAAGUGCCUGACCAGUGUGUUGGCCAUUUGGUUGAAAAGGAAGAGGUGGAUUCUGAAAUGCUAUGGCAGAAGAACCAAUAGAAUUUGGUGACAGACCGAAUAGGGGAUUGAAAGAGAGGGAGGAGUCAAAAGUAGUGGGGUUGAGAGAAGUGAAGGAUGAUGGUGUUGUCAACCGUGAAGGCAAAUCCAUCAGCCAAUCAAUGGUAUUUAUUGGGAGCUUACUGUGGGCAGAGUGCUAGAGCUCUUGGGAAAAUACAAUACAAAAGAGUUGGC
rnacentral:lncRNA from 1 species